rnacentral:rRNA from 1 species
AGAGUUUGAUCAUGGCUCAGGAUGAACGCUGGCGGCGUGCCUAACACAUGCAAGUCGAACGGGAAUCUUCGGAUUCUAGUGGCGGACGGGUGAGUAACGCGUAAGAAUCUAACUUCAGGACGGGGACAACAGUUGGAAACGACUGCUAAUACCCGAUGUGCCGCAAGGUGAAACCUAAUUGGCCUGGAGAAGAGCUUGCGUCUGAUUAGCUAGUUGGUGGGGUAAGAGCCUACCAAGGCGACGAUCAGUAGCUGGUCUGAGAGGAUGAGCAGCCACACUGGGACUGAGACACGGCCCAGACUCCUACGGGAGGCAGCAGUGGGGAAUUUUCCGCAAUGGGCGAAAGCCUGACGGAGCAACGCCGCGUGAGGGAGGAAGGUCUUUGGAUUGUAAACCUCUUUUCUCAAGGAAGAAGUUCUGACGGUACUUGAGGAAUCAGCCUCGGCUAACUCCGUGCCAGCAGCCGCGGUAAUACGGGGGAGGCAAGCGUUAUCCGGAAUUAUUGGGCGUAAAGCGUCCGCAGGUGGUCAGCCAAGUCUGCCGUCAAAUCAGGUUGCUUAACGACCUAAAGGCGGUGGAAACUGGCAGACUAGAGAGCAGUAGGGGUAGCAGGAAUUCCCAGUGUAGCGGUGAAAUGCGUAGAGAUUGGGAAGAACAUCGGUGGCGAAAGCGUGCUACUGGGCUGUAUCUGACACUCAGGGACGAAAGCUAGGGGAGCGAAAGGGAUUAGAUACCCCUGUAGUCCUAGCCGUAAACGAUGGAUACUAGGCGUGGCUUGUAUCGACCCGAGCCGUGCCGAAGCUAACGCGUUAAGUAUCCCGCCUGGGGAGUACGCACGCAAGUGUGAAA